UACGUAGGGGGCAAGCGUUGUCCGGAAUCAUUGGGCGUAAAGCGCGUGUAGGCGGCCCGAUAAGUCCGCUGUGAAAGUCCAGGGCUCAACCCUGGAAUGCCGGUGGAUACUGUCGGGCUCGAAUCCGGAAGAGGUGAGUGGAAUUCCUGGUGUAGCGGUGAAAUGCGCAGAUAUCAGGAGGAACACCGGAGGCGAAGGCGGCUCACUGGGUAGCGUCUGACGCUGAGGCGCGAAAGCUAGGGGAGCAAACGGG
rnacentral:rRNA from 1 species